rnacentral:lncRNA from 1 species
AGAAAAGCAGCAUUGCGAAGUGCAUGGUUUCCAAAUUGAGCUCUGUGGUGUCCUGUCAGAGACCUGGGGAUGGAGGUGCACUGGACAUGAACCAUGCUUCUUCCAGCCAAAAUAUCAAAAAAUUCACAGAAAAAUCUGAGUGUUCAGUUUUUCUUGAAAAGGAUUAAGCCAAGGCACUGAGCAGGGCUGAGCCUGCAAACUGAAGUCCCUCAGUUCUACGCCUGAGCAAGGUAAGAAACUGGGUAUAACUGAUGCAGUAGACUUGUGUGUGAACUACUGUGUUAUAGAGGAGAGAGUAGCCCCUGACCUGGGGGAGUCAAGAGGUUUUUCAGAAGUGGCAUUUUACCCAGAUCUUCAAAGAAAGUCCAAGUUUCACAUAUGGAAGUGGGGAUAGACGAGCAACCAUCUAACAAAUGUAUAUUAAGUGUCAACUAAAAACAAUAUGCU